rnacentral:rRNA from 1 species
AGUGAACGCUGGCGGUAGGCCUAACACAUGCAAGUCGAACGGCAGCACAGUAAGAGCUUGCUCUUACGGGUGGCGAGUGGCGGACGGGUGAGGAAUACAUCGGAAUCUACUUUUUCGUGGGGGAUAACGUAGGGAAACUUACGCUAAUACCGCAUACGACCUACGGGUGAAAGCAGGGGAUCUUCGGACCUUGCGCGAUUGAAUGAGCCGAUGUCGGAUUAGCUAGUUGGCGGGGUAAAGGCCCACCAAGGCGACGAUCCGUAGCUGGUCUGAGAGGAUGACCCGCCACACGGGAACUGGGACACGGUCCACACUCCCACGGGAGGCAGCAGGGGGGAAUUUUGGACAAGGGGGGCAAGCCUGACCCAGCCAUCCGGGGGGGGUGAAGAAGGCCUUCGGGUUGUAAAGCCCUUUUGUGGGGAAAAAAAAGCAGCAGGUUAAUCCCCCGCUGUUCUGGCGGUACCAAAAGAAAAAGCACCGGCAAACUUCGU